AGGCACUUCUUUCUUCUUCCUUUUAAAAAAUCAACAAAGAAGGCCUUUGAAGACUUGAAUGUAAAUCUGUUCUGUAGUGAAUUGAAGAGACAGAGAUGAAGUGGACACAGUAUGUGAAGACAGAUCUUUCAAGAAGUUUGGCUGGAAAGGAAAAGAGAAAGCUCUGAGCAUCACAACUGAUAAAAGCAUAUUCCUGACUCAAGAGUACCCAAUCUCUAGGCUGACUAGUUGGACACAGAAAAGUGUAAGGGAUUAUAUCAUUUUCCACAACCCAACCGACAGAGCUCACAGUAUCUUCUAAACCACUGAAUCCCAGGCAGAAAAAAGCAUCUCUGUCAAUGGGCCAGAACUGUGUAACCAGCCGUAGAGCACAGCCUCUCUUUAAAGGAGUCAAGCAACUCACCAAUGUCUUCCUCUUCCACCUCCGCCAAGCCCACUUGCCUGGCUGCCUGUCAGAGACGGACGGGCCUCUGAGCCAUCAACCUAUGGAGGGUGGAAAAAACCACCCUACGAACACUUCAUCUGACCACAUUUCCCCACUUAUACCACAUCUCUACUGUCUUUCCUUUGCUCUUUCUCUCUUACCCUUCACCCUCCUUCCCUUGGCCGCUUUGCUGAUCACCCACGAGUCCUUCAACGAGUCCUGUAUAGUCCUCUCCUUCCCCAGCCUGACAGCGGCCGCAUAGCGUAUUAGAAACAGCACAGGCUUUGGACUAUAAAAGGGUAGGUUUGACUCUUAGCUCUGUAUUAAUGAGCUUUAUGACCUUGACACAUUAUUAUGAGACUUCUAGGUCUCAGUUUCCUCAUCUGUAAAUGGGGAAAAUAAGAUCUACUUUGUAGAAUUGUAGAAUUAAUAAUGAAGGUUUUAGUGUCUGACACAUUAGUGGUUCAAUAAAUAAUAACGAAUACAUAAAAAUCCCAUGUAAGGAAAGCCAGAAAGGUAUCUUUAUUGUUUGUUUUCUAUCCAUCUUCUAACCUGUGCUUCCUCACUUUAAAAAAUAAACAAUUCCAGGGGCACCUGAACUUAACUCGGUUAAGAGUCCAACUUUGGCACAGGUC